GCUUCGGUGGCCUAGUGGUUAGAGCGUCCGCCUUGGAAACGGGAGGUCGUAGGUUUGAUCCCCGGUCGAAUCA